CGGAGGAUCCAAGCGUUAUCCGGAAUCAUUGGGUUUAAAGGGUCCGUAGGCGGUUUAAUAAGUCAGUGGUGAAAUCUGGUCGCUCAACGAUCAAACGGCCAUUGAUACUGUUAGACUUGAAUUACUAGGAAGUAACUAGAAUAUGUAGUGUAGCGGUGAAAUGCUUAGAUAUUACAUGGAAUACCAAUUGCGAAGGCAGGUUACUACUAGUGGAUUGACGCUGAUGGACGAAAGCGUGGGGAGCGAACAGGAUU
rnacentral:rRNA from 1 species